rnacentral:rRNA from 1 species
AGGACGAACGCUGGCGGCGUGCUUAACACAUGCAAGUCGAGCGGAAAGGCCAUUUCGGUGGUACUCGAGCGGCGAACGGGUGAGUAACACGUGAGUAAUCUGCCCCUGGCUUUGGGAUAGCCACCGGAAACGGUGAUUAAUACCGGAUACGACCCGCCCUCGCAUGGGGGUGUGUGGAAAGUUUUUCGGCCAGGGAUGUGCUCGCGGCCUAUCAGCUUGAUGGUGGGUAAUGGCUCACCAUGGCUUCGACGGGUAGCCGGCCUGGAGAGGGUCACGGUCACGACCGUGGGACUGAGACACGGCCCAGACUCCUAGGGAGGCAGCCAGUGGGGAAUAGUUAGGACAAGUGGGACGGAAGCCGUGAUCCAAGCCAACGGCCGCGGUGAGGGAUGACGG